rnacentral:rRNA from 1 species
GACGAACGCUGGCGGCGUGCUUAACACAUGCAAGUCGAACGGGCCUUGUCCCCUUUUUUUUUGGGGGUGGGGUUAGUGGCGAACGGGUGAGUAACACGUGAGUAACCUGCCCCUCACUUCUGGAUAACCGCUUGAAAGGGUGGCUAAUACGGGGUGUUCUGGCCUGCUCGCAUGGGUGGGUUUGGAAAGAUUCGACCGGUUUGGUUGUUUUGGGGGGGGAUGGGCUUGCGGCCUAUCAGCUUGUUGGUGGGGUGAUGGCCUGCCAAGGCUUUGACGGGUAGCCGGCCUGAGAGGGUGGGCGGUCACACUGGGACUGAGACACGGCCCAGACUCCUACGGGAGGCAGCAGUGGGGAAUAGUGCACAAUGGGCGCAAGCCUGAUGCAGCGACGCCGCGUGAGGGAUGGAGGCCUUCGGGUUGUGAACCUCUUUCGCCAGUGAAGAAGGUCCUGCUCUUUGUGGUGGGGUUGACGGUAGCUGGGUUAAUGAAGCGCCGGCUAACUACGUG